rnacentral:misc_RNA from 1 species
GAACGCACCUUGCGCUCUCUGGUAUUCCGGAGAGCACGCCUGUUCGAGUGUCAUGAAUCUCUCAAGCAGGGAUGGCUUUAUUGCUGACCUUGUUUGGAUUUGGACUCUGCUGUGUCAAUGCGGCUGGUCUUAAAUUUAUUAGCUGGUCCUUAUGGAAGGUUUGGUUCUACUCAGCGUGAUAAUUAUCUAACGUUGAGGACAGUUCUAGGACUGGCCAGAGCUAUCUUUGGAUUGCUUCCAAUUGUCCUUGGGACAAACUUAUUCAAAUUUGACCUCGAAUCAGGUGGGACCACCCGCUGAACUUAAG